UGAACUUUGCUACUCUGAGGCAUUAUAGUUUGCAUUAGCCACUACAUUCUGUCAUGCACACCAUAUUCAGGGCAUAUAUUAGAACACAUUUGCAUAAGAAAUUAUGAACUUUUAACUUAUCCAAAUCACCAAAAUACUCCAAAAAAAAAAAGUAAAACAUGUAGCAGUUACCUUUCAAAGAUGGAUCCUUGAAUAUUUCCACUGAUCCACUGAGCAUCUCUUAGCUCAAGGGGCUGGGAUGAAAAAACCAUUCAUCCGCCUGCCGCCUGCCAAGUUCUUAAAGCCCUUUCUUUUACCAAAAAGUGAGUGAACCCAGAAGUCCAAUAAGUUCUUCAGACAUUGCCUGUUGCCUGUUGCCAGUAUGAAAUAGAGGCUGCCCGCAUCCCUAGUUGACUGAGGUCCAUGGAAAGAGCUGCUCCUUUUGCUCGCUUACAUCUUCCCCUGGCUUAGCAGGUUUUAUCAGAUACUGGCUUUUUGGGUUUCUGGUUUCCAAGGCUACAACCAGCUGAGAACGGGGAUUUUUUGUCCACUCUUUAUACUUUGACUGCCUUAACAGUUACCCAAAACUAACAACCGGAGCCCUUACCCUAUUGUUUUGCCUUCCCUACAUAAUCUGGGAACUGAAGAAUAGAUGCUUGAUCUUAUGAACCAAACUUCUCACAAAAAUCAUUGUCCUAUGAUCAUUAACAGAAG
rnacentral:lncRNA from 1 species